CCAAUAGCGUAUAUUAAAGUUGUUGCAGUUAAAAAGCUCGUAGUUGAAUUUCGGGGUUAGUAGGUUGGUCAUGCCUCUGGUAUGUACUGGUCUCACUGAUUCCUCCCUCCUUAUGAACCGUAAUGCCAUUAAUUUGGUGUUGCGGGAAAUUUGGACUGUUACUUUGAAAAAAUUAGAGUGUUUAAAGCAAGCUAACGCUUGAAUACAUUAGCAUGGAAUAAUGAAAUAGGACGUUCGAUCUUAUUUUGUUGGUUUCUAGGAUUGACGUAAUGAUUAAUAGGGAUAGUUGGGGGCAUUAGUAUUCAAUUGUCAGAGGUGAAAUUCUUGGAUUUAUUGAAGACUAACUACUGCGAAAGCAUUUGCCAAGGAUGUUUUCAUUAAUCAAGAACGAAAGUUAGGGGAUCGAAGACGAUCAGAUACCGUCGUAGUCUUAACCAUAAACUAUGCCGACUAGGGAUCGGAUGAUGUUAAUUUUUUAAUGACUCAUUCGGCGCCUUACG
rnacentral:rRNA from 1 species